rnacentral:rRNA from 1 species
ACUCAAAUGAAUUGACGGGGGCCCGCACAAGCAGCGGAGCGUGUGGUUCAAUUCGACGCAACGCGAAGAACCUUACCCAGGCUUGACAUGCGCGUGGUACCGAUCCGAAAGGGGAGGGACCCGCAAGGGAGCGCGCACAGGUGCUGCAUGGCUGUCGUCAGCUCGUGCCGUGAGGUGUUGGGUUAAGUCCCGCAACGAGCGCAACCCUCGCCGCCAGUUGCCUUUUCUGGCGGGACCGCCGGGUUCAACCCGGAGGAAGGUGGGGAUGACGUCAAGUCAGCACGGCCCUUACGCCUGGGGCUACACACACGCUACAAUGGCCGGUACAGAGGGCAGCCAAGGGGCGACCCGGAGCCAAUCCCAUCCAAAGCCGGUCUCAGUGGGGAUCGGGGGCUGCAACUCGCCCCCGUGAACGCGGAGUUGCUAGUAACCGCCGGUCAGCACACGGCGGUGAAUACGUUCCCGGGCCUUGUACACACCGCCCGU